rnacentral:rRNA from 1 species
CCUACGGGGGGCUGCAGUGGGGAAUAUUGGACAAUGGGGGGAACCCUGAUCCAGCCAUGCCGCGUGUGUGAAGAAGGCCCUCGGGUUGUAAAGCACUUUCAGUGAGGAAGAACGCCUGGUGGUUAAUACCCAUCAGGAAAGACAUCACUCACAGAAGAAGCACCGGCUAACUCCGUGCCAGCAGCCGCGGUAAUACGGAGGGUGCGAGCGUUAAUCGGAAUUACUGGGCGUAAAGCGCGCGUAGGUGGCUUGAUAAGCCGGUUGUGAAAGCCCCGGGCUCAACCUGGGAACGGCAUCCGGAACUGUCAAGCUUGAGUGCAGGAGAGGAAGGUAGAAUUCCCGGUGUAGCGGUGAAAUGCGUAGAGAUCGGGAGGAAUACCAGUGGCGAAGGCGGCCUUCUGGACUGACACUGACACUGAGGUGCGAAAGCGUGGGUAGCAAACAGGAUUAGAUACCCGAGUAGUC